rnacentral:lncRNA from 1 species
CAACUGGUGAAAGCGUCCUCUGCCUGCAGCUCACGCAGACAGGGAAAGACACUCUCCUCAUUACCAAGCAAAACCAGACCGGUUAACUUGCCCAAGAUCUAUAGCUUGCUGCAGUGAUCUCAUCGGUCUGUGUCCCUGAUGGGAACUCAAGCAGGUGGUGCGGAGAGCAGCGAGAUGACAUACGGAGACAGAUUGCCGAAAUAGGCUGAUCCACCAGGCCAACUAAUUUUCCUUCUGAGAAGAGCAAUUAUUUUAAAUUGCCAUAUAUCAACAUGACUUUGUUCUUGCCACUAAAAUAUAACAUCAAUAAACUGUAAUGUAAAUGAGUG